rnacentral:lncRNA from 1 species
GUUAGUUUAUUCAAAAGCUACUUGAUUCUUUUUAGACCAAUCCAAAAUAACACCCUUCUGUAUUCCAAAUUAGACAAAGGAUGGGAUACUUGGGCAAAAUGGAAAUCUUCCAAUAUUCCAGGUGCUCCAGUAUACCUAUGGCUCCUUUAAAUUUACAGGCACAGGAUACUGCAGGAAUUUAAAAAAAUAACUUGUUCAGGUAUCAUGCAUGUCUAACAGAACCAUAAUAUUCCCAAGAAUUUUAUACCUGUGUCUGUCCCUUGUACCUUGUAUGGAUUCAUCUUUUACUCUUGUUUUAGGUACAUGAAACAUUUUAGAUUUUAUUUAAUCUGAAAAAAACUCAGAGAUUAGCAUCUAUUUUUUUAAAAUAGAGAGUUGUUACCAGGACACAGCAAGGACCCAGGAAAACAUCCCAUGGCAAAGAAUUUAACUGUGAAGGUAACCUUGGGGACUGUAACUGUCUGCUGUUGACCUUUCCAGCUGUAAGAAUUGGGCAAGGUCAUCCAGCAGCUGGUGGAAGUUGAAGCAGACACCCACAUCUAAACUUUGAACUGAACUGGAAUCCAGUUGCAGAGAGGAAGGACUGAUGAGCAAAGGAGUUCAAACCAGGAUGGUGAAACCCACAGAAACUGCUGACAUGAACAAAGGAAAGCACUUGCUCCCCAGACUGAUAGCUGGGAAACCAACAUGGGACUGAUCCAGACCCCAUGAAUGUGAGUGUCAGUGAAGAGACCUUGGAAAUCUAUGGGACCUCUUGUAGUGGAUCAGUACUUAUCCCUAGCAUAAGAAUGGACUUUGGGAGCCCAUCCCACAAGGACGGAUACUCCCUGAGCCUCCCUGAGACACAAGGGGGUUGGCCUUGGCCCUAUCCCAAAGAGUAAGUCAGACUUUGAAGACCACCCCCACGGAAGGCCUCACCCUCCCUUGGGAGUAGAAAGGGUAUGGAAUAGGUAGGGUGUUAGUUGGGGG